rfam:Sulfitobacter sp. H3 contig2, whole genome shotgun sequence.
UGCAACACCUCGGGGGGCCAUUGUGGCUGAGAUGCGAAUGAUCGCGGACCCGUUGAACCUGAACCGGUUAACACCGGCGGAGGGAAGGUCUGGACAUCACUC